rnacentral:tRNA from 1 species
UGUCUCUAGGUGUUGUAUAGCAUGCGCUCUUUUCGUGGGCGAGGUAGGUUCUUAGAGAGUC